CGGUACGGGUUACUUCGGUGAUGCGACGACCGGCGCACGGGUGAGUAACGCGUAUGGAACCUACCUACGAGGAGGGUAUAGGUGGGGAAACGGGGAUNAUCCCCCAUAUUAUUAACAAGUGGCAUCGCUUGUUGAUAAAAGCUCCGGCGGUNCAAGAUGGGCAUGCGUGCCAUUAGUUAGUUGGUGAGGUUACGGCUCACCAAGACAACGAUGGCUAGGGGGUCUGAGAGGAUGAUCCCCCACACUGGUACUGAGACACGGACCAGACUCCGUGAGGGAGGCAGCAGUGAGGAAUAUUGGUCAAUGGACGCAAGUCUGAACCAGCCAUGCCGCGUGCAGGAUGAAUGCCCUAUGGGUUGUAAACUGCUUUUCUACAAGAAGAAACUUCCUGAUGUAUCAGGAACUGACGGUAUUGUAGGAAUAAGCAUCGGCUAACUCCGUGCCAGCAGCCGCGGUAAUACGGAGGAUGCAAGCGUUAUCCGGAUUCAUUGGGUUUAAAGGGUGCGUAAGAGGGGUAGUAAGUCAAGUGGUGAAAGCCUGAGGAUUAAACGUAGAAUUGACAUUGAUACUGCUAUUCUUGAGUGCAGAUGAGGUAGGAGGAAUGUGUAAUGUAGCGGUGAAAUUGAUUAGAUAUUACAAAGAACAACGAUAGAGUAGGCAAGCCUUACUAAACUGUAACUGACGCUGAGGCACGAAAGCGUGGGGAGCGAACAGGAUUAGAUACCCUGGUAGUC
rnacentral:rRNA from 1 species